GACGAACGCUGGCGGCGUGCCUAAUACAUGCAAGUUGAGCGCUGAAGGUUGGUACUUGUACCAACUGGAUGAGCAGCGAACGGGUGAGUAACGCGUGGGGAAUCUGCCUUUGAGCGGGGGACAACAUUUGGAAACGAAUGCUAAUACCGCAUAAAAACUUUAAACACAAGUUUUAAGUUUGAAAGAUGCAAUUGCAUCACUCAAAGAUGAUCCCGCGUUGUAUUAGCUAGUUGGUGAGGUAAAGGCUCACCAAGGCGAUGAUACAUAGCCGACCUGAGAGGGUGAUCGGCCACAUUGGGACUGAGAAACGGCCCAAACUCCUACGGGAGGCAGCAGUAGGGAAUCUUCGGAAAUGGACGAAAGUCUGACCGAGCAACGCCGCGUGAGUGAAGAAGGUUUUCGGAUCGUAAAACUCUGUUGGUAGAGAAGAACGUUGGUGAGAGUGGAAAGCUCAUCAAGUGACGGUAACUACCCAGAAAGGGACGGCUAACUACGUG
rnacentral:rRNA from 1 species